AUUGAACGCUGGCGGCAUGCUUUACACAUGCAAGUCGGACGGCAGCACAGAGAAGCUUGCUUCUUGGGUGGCGAGUGGCGAACGGGUGAGUAAUAUAUCGGAACGUACCGAGUAAUGGGGGAUAACUAAUCGAAAGAUUAGCUAAUACCGCAUAUUCUCUGAGGAGGAAAGCAGGGGACCUUCGGGCCUUGCGUUAUUCGAGCGGCCGAUAUCUGAUUAGCUAGUUGGUGGGGUAAAGGCCUACCAAGGCGACGAUCAGUAGCGGGUCUGAGAGGAUGAUCCGCCACACUGGGACUGAGACACGGCCCAGACUCCUACGGGAGGCAGCAGUGGGGAAUUUUGGACAAUGGGCGCAAGCCUGAUCCAGCCAUGCCGCGUGUCUGAAGAAGGCCUUCGGGUUGUAAAGGACUUUUGUCAGGGAAGAAAAGGCUGUUGCUAAUAUCAAUAGCGGAUGACGGUACCUGAAGAAUAAGCACCGGCUAACUACGUG
rnacentral:rRNA from 1 species